UACGAAGGGGGCAAGCGUUGUUCGGAAUUACUGGGCGUAAAGCGUGCGCAGGCGGUUGUGCAAGACAGAUGUGAAAUCCCCGGGCUCAACCUGGGAAUUGCAUUUGUGACUGCACGGCUAGAGUGUGUCAGAGGGGGGUAGAAUUCCACGUGUAGCAGUGAAAUGCGUAGAGAUGUGGAGGAAUACCGAUGGCGAAGGCAGCCCCCUGGGAUAACACUGACGCUCAUGCACGAAAGCGUGGGGAGCAAACAGG
rnacentral:rRNA from 1 species